rnacentral:rRNA from 1 species
UGCAACUCGACCCCAUGAAGUCGGAGUCGCUAGUAAUCGCAGAUCAGCAACGCUGCGGUGAAUACGUUCCCGGGCCUUGUACACACCGCCCGUCAAGUCAUGAAAGUCGGUAACACCCGAAGCCGAUGGCCCAACCUUUUGGGGGGAGUCGUCGAAGGUGGGACUGGCGAUUAGGACUAAGUCGUAACAAGGUAGCCGUACCGGAAGGUGCGGCUGGAUCACCUCCUUUCUAAGGAG